GAUGAACGCUGGCGGCGUGCCUAACACAUGCAAGUCGAGCGAUUUACUUCGGUAAAGAGCGGCGGACGGGUGAGUAACGCGUGGGUAACCUGCCCUGUACACACGGAUAACAUACCGAAAGGUAUGCUAAUACGAGAUAAUAUACUUUUAUCGCAUGGUAGAAGUAUCAAAGCUCAGGCGGUACAGGAUGGACCCGCGUCUGAUUAGCUAGUUGGUAAGGUAACGGCUUACCAAGGCGACGAUCAGUAGCCGACCUGAGAGGGUGAUCGGCCACAUUGGAACUGAGACACGGUCCAAACUCCUACGGGAGGCAGCAGUGGGGAAUGUUGCACAAUGGGCGAAAGCCUGAUGCAGCAACGCCGCGUGAGCGAUGAAGGCCUUCGGGUCGUAAAGCUCUGUCCUCAAGGAAGAUAAUGACGGUACUUGAGGAGGAAGCCCCGGCUAACUACGUGCCAGCCGCCGCGGUAAUAC
rnacentral:rRNA from 1 species